UGAUCCUGGCUCAGGACGAACGCUGGCGGCGUGCUUAACACAUGCAAGUCGAACGAAAAGACGGAAAGAGCUUGCUCUUUUCAGAAUUGAGUGGCAAACGGGUGAGUAACACGUAAACAACCUGCCUUCAGGAUGGGGACAACAGACGGAAACGACUGCUAAUACCGAAUAAGUUCCAAGGGCCGCAUGGCCCAUGGAAGAAAAGGUGGCCUCUACCUGUAAGCUAUCGCCUGAAGAGGGGUUUGCGUCUGAUUAGCUGGUUGGAGGGGUAACGGCCCACCAAGGCGACGAUCAGUAGCCGGUCUGAGAGGAUGAACGGCCACACUGGAACUGAGACACGGUCCAGACUCCUACGGGAGGCAGCAGUGGGGAAUCUUCCGCAAUGGGCGAAAGCCUGACGGAGCAACGCCGCGUGAGUGAAGACGGCCUUCGGGUUGUAAAGCUCUGUUAUAGGGGACGAACGGCCGGGUAGCGAAGAGGUAGCCGGCAUGACGGUACCGUAAGAGAAAGCCACGGCUAACUACGUGCCAGCAGCCGCGGUAAUACGUAGGUGGCAAGCGUUGUCCGGAAUUAUUGGGCGUAAAGCGCGCGCAGGCGGCUUCCCAAGUCCCUCUUAAAAGUGCGGGGCUUAACCCCGUGAUGGGAAGGAAACUGGGAAGCUGGAGUAUCGGAGAGGAAAGUGGAAUUCCUAGUGUAGCGGUGAAAUGCGUAGAGAUUAGGAAGAACACCGGUGGCGAAGGCGACUUUCUGGACGAAAACUGACGCUGAGGCGCGAAAGCGUGGGGAGCAAACAGGAUUAGAUACCCUGGUAGUCCACGCCGUAAACGAUGGAUACUAGGUGUAGGAGGUAUCGACCCCUCCUGUGCCGGAGUUAACGCAAUAAGUAUCCCGCCUGGGGAGUACGGUCGCAAGACUGAAACUCAAAGGAAUUGACGGGGGCCCGCACAAGCGGUGGAGUAUGUGGUUUAAUUCGACGCAACGCGAAGAACCUUACCAGGUCUUGACAUUGAUCGCGAUCUGCAGAAAUGCGGAGUUCUUCUUCGGAAGACGAGAAAACAGGUGGUGCACGGCUGUCGUCAGCUCGUGUCGUGAGAUGUUGGGUUAAGUCCCGCAACGAGCGCAACC
rnacentral:rRNA from 1 species